GAGGGUGUAGCUCAGUGGUAGAGCACAUGCUUAGCGUGCAUAAGGUCCUGUGUUCAAUGCCCAGCGCCUCCA
rnacentral:tRNA from 1 species